rnacentral:rRNA from 1 species
AGCGAACGCUGGCGGCAGGCCUAACACAUGCAAGUCGAACGAACUCUUCGGAGUUAGUGGCGGACGGGUGAGUAACACGUGGGAACGUGCCUUUAGGUUCGGAAUAACUCAGGGAAACUUGUGCUAAUACCGAAUGUGCCCUUCGGGGGAAAGAUUUAUCGCCUUUAGAGCGGCCCGCGUCUGAUUAGCUAGAUGGUGAGGUAAAGGCUCACCAAGGCGACGAUCAGUAGCUGGUCUGAGAGGAUGAUCAGCCACAUUGGGACUGAGACACGGCCCAAACUCCUACGGGAGGCAGCAGUGGGGAAUCUUGCGCAAUGGGCGAAAGCCUGACGCAGCCAUGCCGCGUGAAUGAUGAAGGUCUUAGGAUUGUAAAAUUCUUUCACCGGGGACGAUAAUGACGGUACCCGGAGAAGAAGCCCCGGCUAACUUCGUG